UAACGGCGAGUGAAGCGGCAAGAGCUCAAAUUUGAAAGCUGGCUCCUUCGGGGUCCGCAUUGUAAUUUGCAGAGGAUGCUUCGGGAGCGGCCCCCAUCUAAGUGCCCUGGAACGGGCCGUCAUAGAGGGUGAGAAUCCCGUCUGGGAUGGGGUGCCCGCGCCCGUGUGAAGCUCCUUCGACGAGUCGAGUUGUUUGGGAAUGCAGCUCUAAAUGGGUGGUAAAUUUCAUCUAAAGCUAAAUACUGGCCGGAGACCGAUAGCGCACAAGUAGAGUGAUCGAAAGAUGAAAAGCACUUUGAAAAGAGAGUUAAACAGCACGUGAAAUUGUUGAAAGGGAAGCGCUUGCGACCAGACUCGCUCGCGGGGUUCAGCCGGCCUUCGGGCCGGUGUACUUCCCCGCGGGCGGGCCAGCGUCGGUUUGGGCGGCCGGUCAAAGGCCCUCGGAAUGUAACGCCCCCCGGGGCGUCUUAUAGCCGAGGGUGCCAUGCGGCCAGCCCGGACCGAGGAACGCGCUUCGGCUCGGACGCUGGCAUAAUGGUCGUAAGCGACCCGUCUUGAAACACGGACCAAGGAGUCUAACAUCUACGCGAGUGUUCGGGUGUCAAACCCGUGCGCGCAGUGAAAGCGAACGGAGGUGGGAACCCCUCGGGGUGCACCAUCGACCGAUCCUGAUGUCUUCGGAUGGAUUUGAGUAAGAGCGUAGCUGUUGGGACCCGAAAGAUGGUGAACUAUGCCUGAAUAGGGCGAAGCCAGAGGAAACUCUGGUGGAGGCUCGCAGCGGUUCUGACGUGCAAAUCGAUCGUCAAAUUUGGGUAUAGGGGCGAAAGACUAAUCGAACCAUCUAGUAGCU
rnacentral:rRNA from 1 species